UUGCUGAAGUAAAUAUAGUACUGUGUCUGGAUCCCUGUCACAGAUCCCCUGAAUCUCAGGCAGGUGUUGCUCUGUGGAAGGGCUGUACUUCUGAGAAAGGGGGCUCUGGCCCUCUGCAUCCUCUGCAGAGGAUUUGUGAGAUGCCUGAAGAUGGGCAGCUAUAUCCUUGUCUGUGUUCUGCUGGGCUUUCAAUCUUUCUUCACGCUGGGCCGUUUUCCAUCUCUCUUGGAUGAGGAGGAGCUGUUUCAUGUGGCUAUCCCUUUGCAAUUCCAGUGAAAGAUGAGCCUGCUCAGAUUGUGUCAGCUUCAUGGCUUCAGAAAGAUAUGCCGCAGCCUUUUUGUAAGAAGAAAUAGCCUCUUCGUAUUUGCCUGCAGCUAAUGAAUGGUCUGCUCAUCAGGUUCAUGGCUACCUGGUGCUGUCAGUUCUGGGGGAUUUCUGAGUUUUGCAGUGUAAAUAAUCUUUCUUCUGCUUCUGGACUGUCUCCAUGGCUAUCUUGGGAUUCACCUUUUUCAAAGCUAAGUUGCUAUUUGUUUAUUUGCUUUCUUUCUAGCUUAUAAAUUUGCAUUACUGUUGUCUUUUCUUGCAUGACACUUGUAUUUGUGGUUUAAUGCCUUAACAAUCCAUUUUGUUAUUUUAGGGAGAUGUCAGGAGGAAACAGAAGUAAUUGUGUAUGCUGGUUCUACUGUACAGUUUUGCGUACUUGGAAUAUAUAAUUUUUGUUGCAACCCAUUAAGAUAUGGCAUUAUUUAAAACACUGAUCUAAGCAUGGAAGUUACAACUUUAGAAUUUUUUGUAAAGUUUCAAAAAACAGUGUAUUUCUAAAGGGGAUAAAAGUAAAUACUGAAUCCUUUUAGUAACAAAUAAUCUACAUUUGUUUUUAUGUGCUUCACACAUCUCUUAAUAACCAUGAAGGGAUUACAGUAUUCUCAGUAGAUCAAUUCCAUACUUCUUAUUAAUCAUUCUAACUCUUAUAAUGCUGGGAGUGCCAAAAUAUCACCUCACUGCAGCUGCAUAUUCAUGGUCCAAAACAUUCUUUCCAGUAUGACUUGAUUAUUCUCAUCAACUUUGCAACAACCUUCAUAUGUGAGGUGAGAGAGUAAAAUAAUCAGUCUUGCCACCAACAAGAGUGGAUUUGGAGUUUUAAUGUGCAUUCAGAUUAGAAACAGCACACUAGUUGUGAGGAAAGUUAGUUGGAGUGAGUUGCUCAUUCUAUAGCGGAAAUAUUGGGAAAAACGAGAAAGCAGCAAGCUCCUGAAACAAGAGUGCUGCUCAUUUUCAAGAGUUUAGUUUAAAUAUUUCUUAAUUUUAUAAAAUAAAUGCUGAGUUAAAGAAGUAGACA
rnacentral:lncRNA from 13 species